rnacentral:rRNA from 1 species
CUACGGGUGGCACCAGUAAGGAAUAUUGCGCAAUGGAGGCAACUCUGACGCAGCCAUGCCGCGUGCAGGAAGAAGGCCUUAUGGGUCGUAAACUGCUUUUAUUUAGGAAUAAACCCCCGAACGUGUUCGGGGCUGAAGGUACUAAACGAAUAAGCACCGGCUAACUCCGUGCCAGCAGCCGCGGUAAUACGGAGGGUGCAAGCGUUAUCCGGAUUUAUUGGGUUUAAAGGGUGCGCAGGCGGGCUAUUAAGUCAGUGGUGAAAUCCCGGGGCUCAACUCCGGAACUGCCAUUGAUACUGAUAGUCUUGAGUUUGGUUGAAGUGGGCGGAAUGUAGCAUGUAGCGGUGAAAUGCAUAGAUAUGCUACAGAACACCAAUCGCGAAGGCAGCUCACUAAGCCAAAACUGACGCUCAUGCACGAAAGCGUGGGGAUCAAACAGGAUUAGAUACCCCAGUAGUC